UCCAAAAACAAUUCUAACGCCAUCUGUAUUCUGAACUUAUAUUUAGAAUGCCGAAGAUUCAAAGGGAACUACAACUGUAUACAACCUGGGUAGUGCCGAGAAAAACUAAAACUUAGUUUGAGAAUCGUGAAAUACAGUCACACUCUACGGAACAUGAUUAGUCUGAAGCUAUUCCUGACAUAAUCCUGGAAAAUAAUCUAACCAGUGCCCAAACUCUGGAACUAAUAGGCAACAUGUUCCUUCGAGAUCAACUCCGCACACACUCGAAAAGAACCUCGUCGAACUGAACUGUGCUGAUACAGAGGUUUCCUGGCCCAUCGAUGGUGCACUCUCAGCAACCAAGUGAAUCAGACCAAGUGUUCCUUCAUCUGCGUCAGGCUUGAAACUGUGUCCUCACUCCGGUGGUUGGCACUGGAGUCAACAAAACCCUAAAACCUGAUCCUCAUGAGGAAAUUGAACCGAGAAGAGCACUGGACGUGGAAGGGAGAUCUUCACUUCUGGUGCUAGAGUACAAUUCGAAGGAGACUGAGUAGAGAGACUCCACGGAAACUAGGCUACAAAGUUGCAAGUGAUAAUACUAUCUCAUAGUAAGAGGUAACACUACCUUCCACUUUUGAUCGAUUCUACCAAGUAUGAUGCCCAAGCUUUAGCUUCACCGAGGCGGUAUGGAAUUUGAAUGAAGGUCCAGUUCGAAUCACCCCAGAUUGCAUCCUCUCCCAGACCCAUCAGGAUUCUUCCUUCUCCUCUCAGUUUUUCUCUGUAUCUCAUCUACUUCUUUGGCUUUGUUGCAUGGAGUUCUACAUGCAUGAUUCAAACCAUCGAGUUAGUUGGUUGGUUAGUUUUUACCGCAGUUUUGUAUCCGAUACUUCAGUAUGAGCAAUGUAGGGGCAUCUUUCAAAAUUCAUAGGCAAUUCUCACCGCCAACAUGUGUGGUUCUUCGCCUCGAGUUGUUGGUUUAAGAGUACUGAGCAC
rnacentral:lncRNA from 1 species